rnacentral:rRNA from 1 species
UACAGAGGUGGCAAGCGUUGUUCGGAAUUACUGGGCGUAAAGGGCGCGUAGGAGGUCUUCUAAGUCUUGUGUGAAAUCCCUCGGCUCAACUGAGGAACUGCACGGGAUACUGGAUGACUUGAGUUCGGGAGAGGGAAGCGGAAUUCCGGGUGUAGCGGUGAAAUGCGUAGAUAUCCGGAGGAACACCGGUGGCGAAGGCGGCUUCCUGGACCGAUUACUGACGCUGAGGCGCGAAAGCUAGGGGAGCAAACGGG